UCCAGACUCCUACGGGAGGCAGCAGUGGGGAAUAUUGCGCAAUGGGCGAAACCCUGAUGCAGCGACGCCGCGUGAGUGAAGAAGUAAUUCGUUAUGUAAAGCUCUAUCAGCAGGGAAGAAAAUGACGGUACCUGAGUAAGAAGCCCCGGCUAACUACGUGCCAGCAGCCGCGGUAAUACGUAGGGGGCAAGCGUUAUCCGGAUUUACUGGGUGUAAAGGGAGCGUAGACGGCAGUGCAAGUCUGGAGUGAAAGGCGGGGGCUCAACCCCCGGACUGCUCUGGAAACUGUACGGCUGGAGUGCAGGAGAGGUAAGUGGAAUUCCUGGUGUAGCGGUGAAAUGCGUAGAUAUCAGGAGGAACACCAGUGGUGAAGGCGGCUUGCUGGACGAUGACUGACGUUGAGGCUCGAAAGCGUGGGGAGCAAACAGGAUUAGAUACCCGGGUAAA
rnacentral:rRNA from 1 species